rfam:Gossypium raimondii Chr13_contig_408, whole genome shotgun sequence.
AUUCCAUGAUGUGGGCACUUCCGUAAUAAUUCUUUGUACCUUUCCCAUGCCUCAUACAAUGACACAUCAUCCAUUUGUUGGAAAGUAGUGAUGUCAUUCCUCAACUU